rnacentral:rRNA from 1 species
UACGGGGGGGGCAAGCGUUGUUCGGAAUCACUGGGCGUAAAGGGCGCGUAGGCGGCUGGGGAAGUCGGCGGUGAAAGCCCGGAGCUCAACUCCGGGUCGGCCGUCGAGACUCCUCGGCUCGAGCUCACUAGAGGCAGAUGGAAUUCCGGGUGUAGCGGUGGAAUGCGUAGAGAUCCGGAAGAACACCGGUGGCGAAGGCGGUCUGCUGGGGUGAGGCUGACGCUGAGGCGCGACAGCGUGGGGAGCAAACAGG